rnacentral:ncRNA from 1 species
GUGCAUAAUGAAAGGAGAGAUGGUUGGCAGUCCCCUGCGCAAGGUUGGAUUAGGCUGUCUUGGCCCUCUCCUAGAAGGCAAUGAGCCCCUCUGGGCACCUUUUUCGUCUUCCACACAGUUAGUAAGGUUACAUCCUCUAGCUUUUUU